UAAGCCUGUGAAGGUGUGUCGUGAGGCAUGCUGGAGGUAUCAGAAGUGCGAAUGCUGACAUAAGUAACGAUAAAGCGGGUGAAAAGCCCGCUCGCCGGAAGACCAAGGGUUCCUGUCCAACGUUAAUCGGGGCAGGGUGAGUCGACCCCUAAGGCGAGGCCGAAAGGCGUAGUCGAUGGGAAACGGGUUAAUAUUCCCGUACUUGGUGUUACUGCGAAGGGGGGACGGAGAAGGCUAUGUUGGCCGGGCGACGGUUGUCCCGGUUUAAGCGUGUAGGUGUGUGUUCCAGGUAAAUCCGGUUCACUUUAACACUGAGGCGUGAUGACGAGGCACUACGGUGCUGAAGCAACAAAUGCCCUGCUUCCAGGAAAAGCCUCUAAGCAUCAGGUAACAUCAAAUCGUACCCCAAACCGACACAGGUGGUCAGGUAGAGAAUACCAAGGCGCUUGAGAGAACUCGGGUGAAGGAACUAGGCAAAAUGGUGCCGUAACUUCGGGAGAAGGCACGCUGACACGUAGGUGAAGUGAUUUACUCAUGGAGCUGAAGUCAGUCGAAGAUACCAGCUGGCUGCAACUGUUUAUUAAAAACACAGCACUGUGCAAACACGAAAGUGGACGUAUACGGUGUGACGCCUGCCCGGUGCCGGAAGGUUAAUUGAUGGGGUCAGCGCAAGCGAAGCUCCUGAUCGAAGCCCCGGUAAACGGCGGCCGUAACUAUAACGGUCCUAAGGUAGCGAAAUUCCUUGUCGGGUAAGUUCCGACCUGCACGAAUGGCGUAAUGAUGGCCAGGCUGUCUCCACCCGAGACUCAGUGAAAUUGAACUCGCUGUGAAGAUGCAGUGUACCCGCGGCAAGACGGAAAGACCCCGUGAACCUUUACUAUAGCUUGACACUGAACAUUGAGCCUUGAUGUGUAGGAUAGGUGGGAGGCUUUGAAGUGUGGACGCCAGUCUGCAUGGAGCCGACCUUGAAAUACCACCCUUUAAUGUUUGAUGUUCUAACGUGGACCCGUGAUCCGGGUUGCGGACAGUGUCUGGUGGGUAGUUUGACUGGGGCGGUCUCCUCCUAAAGAGUAACGGAGGAGCACGAAGGUUGGCUAAUCCUGGUCGGACAUCAGGAGGUUAGUGCAAUGGCAUAAGCCAGCUUGACUGCGAGCGUGACGGCGCGAGCAGGUGCGAAAGCAGGUCAUAGUGAUCCGGUGGUUCUGAAUGGAAGGGCCAUCGCUCAACGGAUAAAAGGUACUCCGGGGAUAACAGGCUGAUACCGCCCAAGAGUUCAUAUCGACGGCGGUGUUUGGCACCUCGAUGUCGGCUCAUCACAUCCUGGGGCUGAAGUAGGUCCCAAGGGUAUGGCUGUUCGCCAUUUAAAGUGGUACGCGAGCUGGGUUUAGAACGUCGUGAGACAGUUCGGUCCCUAUCUGCCGUGGGCGCUGGAGAACUGAGGGGGGCUGCUCCUAGUACGAGAGGACCGGAGUGGACGCAUCACUGGUGUUCGGGUUGUCAUGCCAAUGGCACUGCCCGGUAGCUAAAUGCGGAAGAGAUAAGUGCUGAAAGCAUCUAAGCACGAAACUUGCCCCGAG
rnacentral:rRNA from 2 species